rnacentral:rRNA from 1 species
CCAGAGAUGGAUUGGUGCCUUCGGGAACUCUGACACAGGUGCUGCAUGGCUGUCGUCAGCUCGUGCGUGAGAUGUUGGGUUAAGUCCGUAACGAGCGCAACCCUUGUCCUUAGUUACCAGCACGUUAUGGUGGGCACUCUAAGGAGACUGCCGGUGACAAACCGGAGGAAGGUGGGGAUGACGUCAAGUCAUCAUGGCCCUUACGGCCUGGGCUACACACGUGCUACAAUGGUCGGUACAAAGGGUUGCCAAGCCGCGAGGUGGAGCUAAUCCCAUAAAACCGAUCGUAGUCCGGAUCGCAGUCUGCAACUCGACUGCGUGAAGUCGGAAUCGCUAGUAAUCGUGAAUCAGAAUGUCACGGUGAAUACGUUCCCGGGCCUU